rnacentral:rRNA from 1 species
UACGUAGGUGGCAAGCGUUGUCCGGAAUUAUUGGGCGUAAAGCGCGCGCAGGCGGUCCUUUAAGUCUGAUGUGAAAGCCCACGGCUCAACCGUGGAGGGUCAUUGGAAACUGGGGGGACUUGAGUGCAGGAGAGAAGAGUGGAAUUCCACGUGUAGCGGUGAAAUGCGUAGAGAUGUGGAGGAACACCAGUGGCGAAGGCGACUCUUUGGCCUGUAACUGACGCUGAGGCGCGAAAGCGUGGGGAGCGAACAGG